UGGGGAAUUUUGGACAAUGGGGGCAACCCUGAUCCAGCAAUGCCGCGUGUGUGAAGAAGGCCUUCGGGUUGUAAAGCACUUUUGUCCGGAAAGAAAACGUCGUGGUUAAUACCCGUGGCGGCUGACGGUACCGGAAGAAUAAGCACCGGCUAACUACGUGCCAGCAGCCGCGGUAAUACGUAGGGUGCAAGCGUUAAUCGGAAUUACUGGGCGUAAAGCGUGCGCAGGCGGUCCGCUAAGACAGAUGUGAAAUCCCCGGGCUUAACCUGGGAACUGCAUUUGUGACUGGCGGGCUAGAGUAUGGCAGAGGGGGGUAGAAUUCCACGUGUAGCAGUGAAAUGCGUAGAGAUGUGGAGGAAUACCGAUGGCGAAGGCAGCCCCCUGGGCCAAUACUGACGCUCAUGCACGAAAGCGUGGGGAGCAAACAGGAUUCAGAUACCCUGGUAGUCCACGCCCUAAACGAUGUCAACUAGUUGUCGGGUCUUAUUGACUUGGUAACGUAGCUACGCGUGAAGUUGACCGCCUGGGGAGU
rnacentral:rRNA from 1 species